rnacentral:rRNA from 1 species
UCGGAUUGCAGGCUGCAACCCGCCUGUAUGAAGUUGGAAUCGCUAGUAAUCGCGGAUCAGCAUGCCGCGGUGAAUACGUUCCCGGGCCUUGUACACACCGCCCGUCACACCAUGAGAGUCGGGAACACCCGAAGUCCGUAGCCUAACCGCAAGGGGGGCGCGGCCGAAGGUGGGUUCGAUAAUUGGGGUGAAGUCGUAACAAGGUAUC